rnacentral:pre_miRNA from 10 species
UUUGGUGGAACCUAGUGUUAGUGUUGUGCUGUAAAUAAGUGUCCAGCGCACCACUAGUCACCAGGUGUCACCGGA